GCCGGUCCUCGGUAGUGGCCGCCGGAGGAGCAGCGCGUAGGUACGCGAGCUCCGGCCGGCAGCUUCGAUCGAAGACCGGC
rfam:Streptacidiphilus jiangxiensis strain CGMCC 4.1857 genome assembly, contig: Ga0104467_137